rnacentral:lncRNA from 1 species
AAAAAUAAAAUGGGCCUUCACGCCGGCAGCCCAGCUCAACACCAACUCUCUCAACCCUAAAUCCUACAUCCCUCGUCGCGCCGCCGCCCAUCCGCCUGACUCCUAGAUCUCGCACCACCACCAUCGUCCCCUGCUAGGCUGCCACCAAUCCUGCACAGCGCAUCCCCACCACCCCAUCGAUUCAGGGUCGAGCUGCCCCGGCUCCGAGGAGACAAGGCACGGCCUCCUUGUUCCCCACCCUCACCAUUGUCUUCAGCAGAUGCAGAUGCAGCAUGCCCCUCCACGUCCUCGACCCCUAGGCGACUCCAUCACCAAUCCGCUCAUCCACACGUUAUUCUCCUUCACACCAAGGUGAGCCCCAACCCUAACUUACCUCCAGUUCCCCUGGCAUCCGAUUUGGGCAACUAGGGUUCUAUAAACUGGUUGGAUAUGCUCAGAUCGGAACAUAAAUGUCCUAUUUUUGUGACUGGGUGUUAAAACAAGAGACAUGGGCGGAGAUUUGUCUUUUCAAAGCAUCACUACUGAUUUGAGAUUUAUUUUGAAGCAAAUGACUGAUUUGAGAUUGUUGUACUGUUAUUACUUGCUAACCUGAAUUUCUAUGCUCAACUCACGAUAUUUGUUAGGUGUGCAAUAUGUCAAGCUCUUACCAGAUGUGUUCUGAUUUUUGGUUCUAAACCCUAAUAUGUCAAGCAAAUUGGAGAGGUAAGAUUUUUGGUUCUUGUUAAAUUUGUCUUCCAAGAAAGGAAAUACUGUAGAGUUCUAGAAAUACUGUUGCAGAUUUCCCAAACAGUCAAGUUUUGAAAUACUUAUUGAUAGAAAUUCAGUUAACACCAUUUCAUAUAAUAUCAGAACCUAAAAAACCUGUGUCUUCAGUUUGACAGCAUCACUAUUCUGGGCUCACUAUUAUGUACUUUGUGUGCAUGAAGGACAGGGCUGACCCUUGGAUGCCAUAUCUCCCCUUCGUCGCUACUUCACAUAGCUUGGUGAGUUAGCUUUUGCUGCUAGUGGGAUGCCAAAAUGCACAAGAUGAUUUUGUGAACUGCCUAUUCAUCUGUGAUCACUUGGCUACACUAGUUUCAGUUGGCAGAUGCAGCAAACAUGAACUUGAUAUACGUUAAAUAGGUGUUUGCUAUUGUCACAUUUUUUUGCCGUUGUCUUACCAUGUUAUCUGAUUUGUAAACAUGAAACUGCUAUUGGCAGAUGCAACAACUUUCUGUUGAUCUAGUUGCUGAUUUGGUGCUUCGUGUUAACCAGCAAGGAGUUGGGCAGAUCAAAUCUUCUUUUCUUCUGUUGUUUGUCUUGGUUUUCUGACACAGACAGGUACAGUACCUCUUGAUCCAAGUAUUUACUGCUUGUGUUGGUUUUUUAUUGUUUUAUGUUUUGUUUUUCAAUUGUCCAGUUCAGUUUUAGACUUAGAAAGUAGACAGGUACAGUAGCUCUUGAUCCAAUUAGUGUAGUGGCAGCCUAUGCUCUGCGGCCGAGUAUACCUCAAGGCCAGCACAAUACCCUUCUUCUUGCUCCUUUUUCCUGAAGGCACCAGCUGCUGGAUCCAAUAAAAGCAGGCAAGAUUCAAUCAUGGACCGCCUGUAUCCGUGGUGGACUGUAAGGUAUCUUCAUCCGGUACUGGACCAUGAGGACGCCGUGCUCCUCCUUCCCAACAUUCACAUCCACAAGUGCAGGGACUAGCAAGCCAUGCCAUCCACGCAUGCCCUCUCUCCCAUAUGUUGUUGUCUGCCGUUCAUCCAUGUAAGGUCAUAGCCUAAUCUCCUUCCCUAAAUAUUUUGAUGGUGCAGACCUAUCAUUCCUCUUUGUGCUCAUGUUGUGGCUAUGUGUGCUUUUUUAUAACUUAUUUUGGUGAAUUGCUUAGUAUUUGAGUUCAAAUGUAGUUCAAAUGGCAGCUUAUUAUUAUGAUAUAUUUAGCUCAAGUAAUUGAAGCACAAUAUUUUUAAUAGAAGCCAUAUGUUAAAUGUUGAAUAUAAUGGGCCAUUAGCUCAUAUUUAUAUUUGAUGAUUAAUUCAAGGGCCCAUAAUUAAUGCUAUA